rnacentral:piRNA from 1 species
GAGCAAUCAAGGACUGGCCCCAGCAUGAA